UGACUCUUCGCCUCUUCGGUCUCCGCAGAAGAAGCCCUAGCUUCCGCCGCCGCCGCCGUUUCUUACCUUGGUCUGCUGGGUGCUGCUGCGGCUUCUUUCAACCUCCAGAGACUUCCGACCUCCAUCUCUCAACUAGGAUCGCUCGGGGCACUGUUUCGUUCCUUUCUUUGUUUCCCCGUCGAUCCGUUUUCAUUGAGGAUCAUGUAUACUCUUUGCUGAUCAAGAUUUUAGGGGUGUUAUGAAGACUUGUGUCUUAGGGUGUUAUGAUGAUUACAUUUACUUGAGGCAGUUCUUCCCUCAAGCACUAACCACAUAGAUGUUUGGAGACCUUCGCUGCUCCUUAAGUCCUAAAAGGGCCAUGCCUCAUGAAACCGAUUGGGCUUUGAACUCUUUGGGGUUCGAAGCCCAUGAGAAUAAGGGACAUGGUCUCUUUUUGUUGGAUGUACCUUGGCCGUUAUAACGGGUUUUUAAUAAUCGAAUGCUUUGUUUCAUAGUCUAUAUCUAUGAGAAUGGUUGUUGUGAAAAUCCCUUGAAUCAACGUAAAAGCAUAAUAUAUCAAGUCAUAGUGAUAAGAGGAAUCCAUCGCCGUCUAAACCCUAAAUUUGCAGACCCCUUCAUCUUUCUUUGUAUGCAAGUCCUGUGAUUACUAGAUUCUCUUGAUAGCUAGAUUAUUUAGGAAUCCAAAUUCUUAGUAAAGCUCUUCAGAAAAAGUUGCCUAAACGGGCUCUUGGUAUGUCUAAGUGUUACUCGGUUGUAAUACAUAAGAAUGUCACACCUCUCUAGAGGGACCCACAACCAACUCUAUAGUGUUAGCUUAAAAGAUAGGUCAUAUGUAUAACAAAUCUCUACUACAAUAAAGCAUCAGUGCGUGAUGCACUUAGUUCAUUUUUUUUGUUAUGUUCCCCCAUUCACUGAACUGUUUGCAUGCAUAGGCACUCGUAUCCUCGUCUUACCUUCUCGUCGCUCUCCAUACUCGCCUUGCUCAUAUGCCCUCACUAAAAGGGAAAAAUGGGAUUAAGCCAUUUCUAUAUUGCUUUUAAUAUUUGAUGACCAUUACAGCCUUAUGGACUAACUAGUUUGUUAAGGGUGUGUUUGAUUGAGAAAUGAAGGAGAGCGGAGCAACUCUAUUCCUAUUUCUUGGAUGUUUGGUUUCUAAAAAAAAGGAGCGGAGCAAAACGACUCCAUCCUUAAAAAACUAGAAUGGAGUCACUCUAUUCUAGUUGACUCUCUAACCAAAUACACCAAUGGUCACAUGAACAAUAGGAAUAGAAGAUUCGAAGUUGAAAUAACUCAAAUCCUAGCUAGAAAGGAUACUUUUUAGAAAAAGAUGAACUAUGAGUAGUUUAAAUAUAGGUUCUAAGUUACCUUAGGAACACAUUUGAGCAUCUAAGAGAGGCUAAGUUUAGAAAUUGAUAUUGAUACUUUGGAGCAAAGUUUGAGCAAAAAAUGAGAACAUGAGUUAGAGAAAUCAGAAAGGUGAAGAACUAUGACUUAUCCUAGUUGGAUAAACUCUACAUAUGUUUGUCUAAAUCAUAGAAAUGCUCAAAAAGACAACCAAACUAAGACAAAGAAGAAAAGCCCCAAAUGACUUAACUGUGCUGCUCUACGACACACCGUACUAAGUUCGGUGGGUCACUGUACCAGUUACACAGAGAGACAAAAUUAUGGGCUUGUGUGUGUUGGCGCAAUAGACCCAUUAUGCAGAGACGUUUUUGUACUAGCAAUUGGAGCACCGGACCACCCGUACACCCAAUGGUCGGGUGAGGUUUGUCCAACGGUUAGAUCACGUGGCAUCAACAUGGCAGGUUUGGUGGUGUACCAUCCUAGCUCGGUGUGCCUAGCAAGUUGUCAACAGAAUCAGAACGAUCACUGAAUUAGCAGGCGUGGCAGAGGUCCGGUGGGCACCAAACCUACACUCUACAAAGUUUGGUACACUCUUAGACUGUGCAGAUUUUGGGAUUUGAUCCCAACAGCUAUAUGGGUUGUUGUGGGCUAUAAAUAGACCCCGAAUCAACCUAUUCUAUAUAAGAGUUGUGCAACAAGUCAUAUACAAUACACUAGAGCAACACUCCAAAUUGAUCGAAGCCUCCCAAGCGUCACAAAAGAGUGAAUCAAGCAAAGAGAUAUACUUGUGUGUGUGAUUUGAGAUUGUGACUUAAGAGAGCUAAAGCAAGAGUGUGUGUUGUGUUCUUAUGAUCAUUGAGCUUGAAGUUUUGACUUCCAUUCAUUGUAAUGCUAGCAAGAGGCUUCGACGUGUGAAGUUCCUUGCGGAGACUUCGGUCUCUCAAACGAGAAAAGUGAUAAGGCUCAA